rnacentral:rRNA from 1 species
GAUCAGUAGUAUCCUGAGUAGGGCGGGACACGAGGAAUCCUGUCUGAAUCGACCGGGCCCAUCCGGUAAGGCUAAAUACUCCUGAGAGACCGAUAGAGAACAAGUACCGUGAGGGAAAGGUGAAAAGCACCCCUGACAGGGGAGUGAAAAAGUACCUGAAACCGUGCGCCUACAAGCAGUCGAAGCCCCGUUAGAGGGGUAACGGCGUGCCUUUUGCAUAAUGAGCCUACGAGUUAUACCUUACCGGCAAGGUUAAGUACCAAAAAGGUAUGCAGCCGAAGCGAAAGCGAGUCUGAACAGGGCGAUGAAAGUCGGUAUGGAUAGACGCGAAACCAGGUGAUCUACCCAUGGUCAGGUUGAAGUCCCGGUAACACGGGAUGGAGGACCGAACCAGUAAACGUUGAAAAGUUUUUGGAUGAACUGUGGGUAGGGGUGAAAGGCCAAUCAAACCUGGAAAUAGCUCGUACUCCCCGAAAUGCAUUUAGGUGCAGCCUUAUGAAAUUUUAGCACAGGUAGAGCUACUGAUAGGACGCGAGGGUUUCAUCGCCUAUCAACUCCUGACAAACUCCGAAUGGUGCUAAAAGAUUCAUAGGAGUGAGGGCAUGGGUGCUAAGGUCCGUGUCCGAGAGGGAAAGAACCCAGACCACCGUCUAAGGUCCCGAAAUGUAUGCUAAGUUGAAGCAAACGCGGUAUGGUUGCACAGACAGCUAGGAUGUUGGCUUGGAAGCAGCCAUUCAUUUAAAGAGUGCGUAACAGCUCACUAGUCGAGCGACCGUGCAUGGAUAAUAAUCGGGCAUUAAGCAUGCUACCGAAGACGUGGAUUGCCCCCAUCCGGGGGCAGUGGUAGGGGAGCAUUCCAAGACCGCCGAAGCAGUACUGUGAGGUAUUGUGGAGGGCUUGGAAAAGCAAAUGUAGGCAUAAGUAACGAUAAUGAAGGUGAGAGACCUUCACGCCGAAAGACCAAGGAUUCCUGAUCAACGCUAAUCGGAUCAGGGUCAGUCGGGCCCUAAGGCGCACCCGAAAGGGGUAGCCGAUGGCAAGCAGGUCAACAUUCCUGCACCCGCUAUACAAUAAAAGUGACGGGGUCACCAGGUGUCUGAGCGCUGACGGAAUAGCGCCCUGAGCCUAGGCUACGGCCGAAGCGAAGACAAGUAAUGACUUCCAGGAAAAGCGAGUAUAGCGGCCCGUACCGUAAACGGACACACGUAGUUGGGUUGAGUAUACUAAGGCGCUCGAGUGAUCCGCGGCUAAGGAACUAGGCAAAUUAGUCCUGUAACUUCGGGAGAAAGGACCCCCGGUAUAUAUUUCGGUAUAUAUUGGGGCGCAGAGAAAUGGCCCAGGCGACUGUUUACCAAAAACACAUGGCUUUGCCAAAUCGCAAGAUGACGUAUAAGGCCUGACACCUGCCCGGUGCCGGAAGGUUAAGAGGAGAUGUUAAUCGUAAGGUGAAGCAUUGAAUUGAAGCCCCGGUAAACGGCGGCCGUAACUAUAACGGUCCUAAGGUAGCGAAAUUCCUUGUCGGGUAAGUUCCGACCUGCACGAAUGGUGUAACGAUCUGGGCACUGUCUCAGCCGCGAGCUCGGUGAAAUUGUAGUACCGGUGAAGAUGCCGGUUACCCGCAACGGGACGGAAAGACCCCGUGAACCUUUACUGCAACUUAACAUUGAUUUUGGGUAAGUGAUGUGUAGGAUAGGUCGGAGACAGUGAAUCGCGUUCGCCAGGACGCGUGGAGUCGCCCUUGAAAUACGACCCUUUACUUGCCUGGAGUCUAAUCCCGCAGAGCGGGAGACAUUGUUUGGUGGGUAGUUUGACUGGGGUGGUCGCCUCCAAAAGUGUAACGGAGGCUUCCCAAGGUUCCCUCAAGACGAUUGGUAACCGUCUGCAGAGUAUAAUGGCAUAAGGGAGCUUGACUGUGAGACCGACAAGUCGACCAGGUGCGAAAGCAGGGCAUAGUGAUCCGGUGGUUCCGCAUGGAAGGGCCAUCGCUCAAAGGAUAAAAGGUACUCCGGGGAUAACAGGCUGAUCGCCGCCAAGAGCUCAUAUCGACGCGGCGGUUUGGCACCUCGAUGUCGGCUCGUCACAUCCUGGGGCUGGAGAAGGUCCCAAGGGUUGGGCUGUUCGCCCAUUAAAGUGGCACGCGAGCUGGGUUCAGAACGUCGUGAGACAGUUCGGUCCCUAUCUGUUGUGGGCGUAGGAGAUUUGCGAGACCCUGUCGUUAGUACGAGAGGACCGCGAUGGACAGACCACUGGUGCAUCAGUUGUUCCGCCAGGAGCACCGCUGAGUAGCUAAGUCUGGAAGGGAUAAGUGCUGAAAGCAUCUAAGCACGAAGCCUGUCUCAAGAUAAGAUCUCCACAAAAGGGGCGUUGC